UACGGAGGGGGCUAGCGUUGUUCGGAAUUACUGGGCGUAAAGCGCACGUAGGCGGCUUUGUAAGUUAGAGGUGAAAGCCCCGGGCUUAACCCGGGAAUGGCAUUGGAAACUGCUGAUCUGGAGGAUCGGAGGGGGGACUGGAAUUCUUGGUGUAGCAGUGAAAUGCGUAGAUAUCAAGAGGAACACCAGUGGCGAAGGCGAGUCCCUGGACGAUACCUGACACUGAGGCACGAAAGCCAAGGGAGCAAACAGG
rnacentral:rRNA from 1 species